CAUGCAAGNUCGAACGGUAGCACAGAGAGCUUGCUCUCGGGUGACGAGUGGCGGACGGGUUGAGUAAUGUCUGGGAAACUGCCUGAUGGAGGGGGAUAACUACUGGAAACGGUAGCUAAUACCGCAUAACGUCGCAAGACCAAAGAGGGGGACCUUCGGGCCUCUUGCCAUCAGAUGUGCCCAGAUGGGAUUAGCUAGUAGGUGGGGUAANGGCUCACCUAGGCGACGAUCCCUAGCUGGUCUGAGAGGAUGACCAGCCACACUGGAACUGAGACACGGUCCAGACUCCUACGGGAGGCAGCAGUGGGGAAUAUUGCACAAUGGGCGCAAGCCUGAUGCAGCCAUGCCGCGUGUAUGAAGAAGGCCUUCGGGUUGUAAAGUACUUUCAGCGGGGAGGAAGGUGUUGUGGUUAAUAACCNCAGCAAUUGACGUUACCCGCAGAAGAAGCACCGGCUAACUCCGUGCCAGCAGCCGCGGUAAUACGGAGGGUGCAAACGUUAAUCGGAAUUACUGGGCGUAAAGCGCACGCAGGCGGUCUGUCAAGUCGGAUGUGAAAUCCCCGGGCUCAACCUGGGAACUGCAUUCGAAACUGGCAGGCUAGAGUCUUGUAGAGGGGGGUAGAAUUCCAGGUGUAGCGGUGAAAUGCGUAGAGAUCUGGAGGAAUACCGGUGGCGAAGGCGGCCCCCUGGACAAAGACUGACGCUCAGGUGCGAAAGCGUGGGGAGCAAACAGGAUUAGAUACCCUGGUAGUCCACGCCGUAAACGAUGUCGACUUGGAGGUUGUGCCCUUGAGGCGUGGCUUCCGAAGCUAACGCGUUAAGUCGACCGCCUGGGGAGUACGGCCGCAAGGUUAAAACUCAAAUGAAUUGACGGGGGCCCGCACAAGCGGUGGAGCAUGUGGUUUAAUUCGAUGCAACGCGAAGAACCUUACCUACUCUUGACAUCCAGAGAACUUNCCAGAGAUGCUUUGGUGCCUUCGGGAACUCUGAGACAGGUGCUGCAUGGCUGUCGUCAGCUCGUGUUGUGAAAUGUUGGGUUAAGUCCCGCAACGAGCGCAACCCUUAUCCUUUGUUGCCAGCGGUCCGGCCGGGAACUCAAAGGAGACUGCCAGUGAUAAACUGGAGGAAGGUGGGGAUGACGUCAAGCUCAUCAUGGCCCUUACGAGUAGGGCUACACACGUGCUACAAUGGCGCAUACAAAGAGAAGCGAACUCGCGAGAGCAAGCGGACCUCAUAAAGUGCGUCGUAGUCCGGAUUGGAGUCUGCAACUCGACUCCAUGAAGUCGGAAUCGCUAGUAAUCGUAGAUCAGAAUGCUACGGUGAAUACGUUCCCGGGCCUUGUACACACCGCCCGUCACACCAUGGGAGUGGGUUGCAAAAGAAGUAGGUAGCUUAACCUUCGGGAGGGCGCUUACCACUUUGUGAUUCAUGACUGGGGUGAAGUCGUAACAA
rnacentral:rRNA from 1 species